GUGGGGAAUAUUGGGCAAUGGGCGCAAGCCUGACCCAGCAACGCCGCGUGAAGGAAGAAGGCUUUCGGGUUGUAAACUUCUUUUACCAGGGACGAAACAAAUGACGGUACCCGGUGAAUAAGCCACGGCUAACUACGUGCCAGCAGCCGCGGUAAUACGUAGGUGGCGAGCGUUAUCCGGAUUUAUUGGGUGUAAAGGGCGUGUAGGCGGGACAGCAAGUCAGAUGUGAAAACCAGAGGCUCAACCUCUGGCCUGCAUUUGAAACUGUUGUUCUUGAGUGUCGGAGAGGUAAUCGGAAUUCCGUGUGUAGCGGUGAAAUGCGUAGAUAUACGGAGGAACACCAGUGGCGAAGGCGGAUUACUGGACGAUAACUGACGCUGAGGCGCGAAAGCGUGGGGAGCAAACAGGAUUAGAAACCCUAGUAGUCC
rnacentral:rRNA from 1 species